CGACUCCUCGGGAGCAGCAGUGGGGAAUAUUGCACAAUGGGGGAAACCCUGUUGCAGCAACGCCGCGUGAGUGAGGAAGUAUUUCGGUAUGUAAAGCUCUAUCAGUAGGGAAGAAGAAAGACGGUACCUGACUAAGAAGCCCCGGCUAACUACGUGCCAGCAGCCGCGGUAAUACGUAGGGGGCAAGCGUUAUCCGGAUUUACUGGGUGUAAAGGGAGCGUAGACGGCAUAGCAAGUCUGAAGUGAAAGCCCGUGGCUCAACCGCGGAACUGCUUUGGAAACUGUUAAGCUGGAGUACUGGAGAG
rnacentral:rRNA from 1 species